GAUGAACGCUAGCUACAGGCUUAACACAUGCAAGUCGAGGGGAAACGAUAGAGAAGGCUUGCUUUUUCUAGGCGUCGACCGGCGCACGGGUGAGUAACGCGUAUCCAACCUGCCCAUCACUUGGGGAUAACCUUGCGAAAGUAAGACUAAUACCCAAUGAUAUCUCUAGAAGACAUCUGAAGGAGAUUAAAGAUUUAUCGGUGAUGGAUGGGGAUGCGUCUGAUUAGCUUGUUGGCGGGGUAACGGCCCACCAAGGCAACGAUCAGUAGGGGUUCUGAGAGGAAGGUCCCCCCACAUUGGAACUGAGACACGGUCCAAACUCCUACGGGAGGCAGCAGUGAGGAAUAUUGGUCAAUGGGGCGAGAGCCUGAACCAGCCAAGUAGCGUGCAGGAUGACGGCCCUAUGGGUUGUAAACUGCUUUUAUAAGGGAAUAAAGUGAGUCUCGUGAGACUUUUUGCAUGUACCUUAUGAAUAAGGACCGGCUAAUUCCGUGCCAGCAGCCG
rnacentral:rRNA from 1 species